GGGGUUGUGGCUCAGAGGUAGAGCGUUCGCCUAGCAUGCAUAAGGCACUGGGUUCGAUCCUCAGCACCA
rfam:Ictidomys tridecemlineatus contig025101, whole genome shotgun sequence.